rnacentral:lncRNA from 1 species
AAAUCUUAGAAGUAUUUAGCUUGAUUUAUAAUAAGUGUGUAAAUUUUGGAAGUAAAAUAACAAUUCAAUCAGGAGUAAUUGGCUCUAGAAGAUUGGCAUCAAGGUUGAAAAAGGAGGUUAGUGGACACCUAGGCACAUUUUUGAGCUAACUUCUAUUUAGUAAUUUUGAUCCUUUUCAAAUUUUUUGUACUUAUUGUUAACUUAAUUAGUGAAGAAUGUGAAAAUUUUGAAUUGAAAUCAAUGGAUUUGUUUUGAUUUAGGAUUUAGUUUGGAUUAAGAUUUGAUUAGGAUUAGGAUUUCGUUAGGGUUAGAAUUGGGAUUAGAAUUUGAUUAGGAUUAAGAUUUGAUUAGGAUUUGGUUAGGUUUAGAAUUAGGAUUAGAAUUUGAUUAGGAUUAAUAUUUGAUUAGGAUUAGGAUUUGAUUAGGAUUAAGAUUUGAUUAGGAUUUAGAAUUUGAUCUAAGAUUUGAUUAAGAAUCUUAAAUUUUUAUUUUUAGUAUUUAAAGAUAUCUUUGUUGUAUUUUUAGGAUUAUUUAUAUAU